rnacentral:lncRNA from 9 species
UUUUUUUUUAUUUUAUGGCUGCACCUGCGGCUAUGGAGGUUCCCAGGCUAAGCGUCCCAUCGGAGCUGCAGCUGCCAGCCUACACCACAGCCACUGCAACACCAGAUCCGAGCCGUGUCUGCGACCUACACCAUAGCGCAUGGCAACACUGGAUCCUUAACCCACUGAGCAAGGCCAGGGAUGGAACAUGUGGUCCUCAUGGAUGCUCGUCAGAUUCGUUUCCACUGAGCCCCGAUGGGAACUGUUCGGCAUUUUUAUUUACCACAUCUGGGAAGCCCACUCAUGGCAGAUUUAAUGCCCAAUACAUGACUGGAGUGCAGUACUUUCUAAGGAAAUGCAAAAGUAGCAGGUGUCUCACCUUCCACCAGUGAAGAGGGGGCACAGAGAAGAAGCGCCUUGAGCCAGAGGGAGGAGACCAGACUGAAAGGCAAAUGUACAGAAACCAUCCCCUGAAGCUAAGAUCUGAGGACGCACAAGCUAUAAUUCAACUCAGGUUGGAUCACUGAUGAGGGCGUCACGGACGUGGACGGAAAGCUGCCUUAAAGACACAGAUUUUCAGGCAAAUGGGGAAGCCAGGUGUACUGGUCACCGAGAGCUGCCCGAACAAGGACCACAGACGGGGCAGCUUAAGCAACGGACAUUCAUCUUUUCAGUCAUGGAGGCUGGAGUCUGAGACCCUGGUGUGGGCAGGGCUGGUCCCUCUGGAGGCCUCUCUCUUGGGCGUGUCGACGGGCAUCUCCUCCCCGUGUCCUCACAGGGCCGUCCCUGGGGUUGUGUCUGCAUCCUGAUCUCCUCUUCUUCUAAAGCCCCCUGUCCUGGGGAUCAGGACCCCCUCUAGGGACCUCAUGGUACAUUCACCCCUCUGGAAAGACCCAUCUCCAAACACAGUCACAUUCUGAGAUCCUGGAGGUUCGGACUUGAAUAUGUGAAUGGAGGGGUGGGUGUCAUUUAGCCCAGAAGAACAGGCGGACGUCCUCAGAGAAGACAAUGCUGUCAACACGACCAGCCAAGUUCACUCACCACUUACUAGACAACAGUACCGGCAACACGACCAGCCAAGUUCACUCACCACUUACUACACAGUACCGGCAACACGACCAGCCAAGUUCACUCACCACUUACUAGACAGUACCGGCAACACGACCAGCCAAGUUCACUCACCACUUACUAGACAGUACCGGCAACACGACCAGCCAAGUUCACUCACCACUUACUACACAGUACCGUCAACACGACCAGCCAAGUUCACUCACCACUUACUACACAGUACCGUCAACACAACCAGCCAAGUUCACUCACCACUUACUACACAGUACCAUAAACACAACCAGCCAAGUUCACAGCUCACUUACUAGACAAUAUUGUAAAGACAACCACCCAAGUUCACUCAUCACUGACGUUUCCACUCCAAUGCCAUUCAUUCAUUCUUUUUUUUAUAAAUUUUUCCAAAGCACCAAAAACUCUUUUCCCAGACUGUUAAUGCCAGAGCCUGACCUAGAUGUCACAAAGAGCUACUAAAAUGCCCUGCUCCGAAAGCUGGGGAAGUAAAAAGAACUCACCUUUCUGAGACAAGUGUGAACAUAAUCGCUUCAUCACAAUUACAAAAGGAGGGGUUCAUACAGGUUACAGAGGGGGGGUUCCUUACAGUGGAAACUCCUACAGGAAACAGCACUCUAUGCAAUCAGUGUAAACUUAGAAAAAUGAGCAUAGAAAACGUUGGAGCACAAAGGCUGACUCUCGACUCCCAGGGAGGGAAUGUGGUACUUGGAAUGUUGGUAGGGUUUUUAAUUUUUUUGCUAACUUUUUUUUCUUUUUUUAAGGCCAUGCCUGCAGCAUGUAGAUAGUGCCGGGUUAGAGGUCGGAAUUGGAGCUGCAGCUGCAGGUCUACGAGACAGCCACAGCAACACCAGAUCCGAGCCACACCGGCAACCGAUGCGACAGCUCACGGCCACGCCGGAUCCUUUACCCACUGAGCGAGGCCAGGGAUCAAACACACAUCCUCACAGACACUAUGCUGGGUCCUUAUCUUGCUGAGCCACAAGAACUCCAUAAUUUUUUGCUAAUUUUACUCCCCAUAAGCACUCCCAUCUGGAAAAAAACUGUUCAAAUGCAGUAUUUUACUUAUGUUAUGAUCCCAGCCUCCAAACCUUUAGCUCUCCGUGACUUUAAUGACGUUUCUGUCAUCGAGGCUUCCAGAGUUGAUCUCCGUCAGCCCUCGCUGGAGAGAGAUCUGUGGGACAAGGUUCCACUUCCUGGAAGCAAGCAGACGGGGCCGCCGUGUCCCCAGCACCGUGUGUGUCCCCGUGGGAAGCUCAGCUCCCAGCGUGCGCCUGCGCUGGGAGUCAGGACACAGGCACUCUCUUGUUGUCUGAAAAGCCCCCCUUCUCUCGAGGGCGCCUGGAGGAGCUCCGUCUUGGCCAAACCACAUCUGCGGUCCUGCCAUCCCACCCAGGAUGCGCUGCCUGGCCUCCGCCUUCCUAAGUCUCUCUCCCUAAGAAGUCUCGCAGUCUCACGGGAGUCAAUGGGUCCUUCAGAAGCUCCUUUUCCAGGUACACAUACAUGUAUACAUUCUUUUUUCUCACAUCAUGGGUGACCAUGCUGUACAGUAGGAAAAAAUAAUAAUAUAUGGGGGGAAAUAAUAAUAAAUUAAAAAAAAAAAAAGCAGCAGCUCCUUUUCUGAAGGUGGCCUCGGAAAAGCAGACGAGUUGGGUCCCCAGGCAGACACAGGCGAGGGAGUACCUUUCCCAGACGGACUUCUUGUUCAUUUAAUGCCACCAUAAGGAGGAGCCUGCCCGUUGCUACAGGAGACAUGGAGAGAGAGAACGGCCUCCACCAUAGGGAGCCCGUGGGUCCCCAGCCUUUGAGAUCUGUUAGCUGCGGAAUGGACUGAAAGUAUCUUUUUAAAAAAAUUAAUUAUCCUGGGAGUAUCCAUCGUGGCUCAGUGGAAAUGAAUCUGACGAGCAUCCCUGAGGAUGCAGGUUGAAUCCCUGGCCUCAAUCCGUGGGUUAAGGAUCCAGUGUCGUCGGGAGCUGUGGUGUGGGUUGCAGACGCAGCUCGGAUCUGGCGUUGCUGUGGCUGUGGGGUAGGCUGGUGGCUACAGCUCCAACUGGACCCCAAGCCUGGGAACCUCCACAUGCCGUGGGUGCAGACCUAAAAAGACAAAUGACAAAAAAGACAUGAAUUAUAUUGGCGUAGAGUUGAUUUACAACGUUGUAUGAGUCAGCAAAGUGACUCAGCCUUAAGAGACAUCUGUCCAUUGUUUUUUUUCCCCCAUAAAGGUUAGUUCAGACUAUGGAGGAGAUUUCCCCACGCUCCACAGUAGGUUCUCAGGGACCAUCUCUUUCACUGUCAUGUGUGUCCUUUCAUCCCACUUCUGCCAGGGAUCCCAGCUCAGGAGUCACACCUCCUACGCCGAGCCUGCGCCCUCAAAAAAAAGCCGUCAGGGACAUUCACGAUGUGCAGGCUCUGCCCACCCCCAAAUGCCCUGUCCCUCUGGGGAACAGAGAGUCCUCGGAGCCCUUUUUUGGGAAACGGACAGGCUCGUGGUUUCCUGGCCCCACAGACAACGGCCUCUCUAGCAUGUGCUCUUCUCGGAACCCGAAAGUAUCUUCGACUGGCAAGAGAGAAGAGAAACCGCGUAUGCAAUCCGAAGAGGAUUCCUCCCCCAGCACCACCAAAUACUGUCCAUCACUGCACAGUGCAUAGGUCUUUGAGGGAUGACCUCUCUAGGGACAUAAAGUCAACGGAAAGGGGAUGAUUAUUGAUUUAUUUAUUUGUCUUUUUAGGGCCACACCUGCGACAUCUGGACGUUCCCGGGCUAGGGGUCGAACCAGAGCUGCAGCAGCCAGCCUACACCACAGCCACAGCGAUGUGGGAUCCGAGCCGCCUCUGCAACCUACACCACUACAGCUCAUGGCCAUGCCAGAUCCUUAACCCACCGAGCAAGGCCGGGGAUCACACCCACUUGUGGAUACCUGGUGGGUUCAUAACUCACGGAGCCACAAUAGGAACGGAUGUUGAAACUGCAGCCCUGACAUGGGAACUAAAAUGAAACAUUGCCCACUCCGGAUGCCCAAGGACUGAGUAAACUCGCCAAAUGACUAAGUGUGGUGAAGGCAUUGUGCCGGCCAGCGGGCUCUUCCUCGUGGUAGCUGAUAUCCCAAACCGUCCCCUAAGGGGGACGCGUUCCUCUUCCCUACUGGACUGCGGGAGGUGGAGGCAGCGGUCACAGCCAACUCAGGGGCGGGCUUACCCGCCUGUGUGUGUUCUAGAUUUGGGUCUGAUUCUGUUUUCCUUUAGAAGCAGAGUUAUGAGACAGGUUCUGAAGUCUGGAGUGGUUCCUGCUGCUUUGCACUCUGAUGCCCCCUCCGACGGUCAGCAGCACAGACAGAAGAUACAUGCAGGUACCUGGAGAGGCUGGGGGCCUCUCCUGACUGCCAGCAGAGGGGUCAAUGGACACAUCGGAGGCCCAGCAAUGGUGCUGUUGUACGUUUGGGGUUUCACAUCAUUCAUUCAGAAAAGGAAGGGUUUUGUGGUCUGAACCAAAGACCUUUUCACCUUCACGCCGACCCGGGCAGAGCAAACUCUGGAACGUGUCGUCCACCCAACCUGAGUCUGGCUGGUGCCUAAGUCCUAGUGCAGGGGUCCUGGGAUGGGAGCCACUUUAAAAGGGGGUCGUGGGCUUGUGCCCUGGGAUGUGGUUCACUGGCUUUUUCCCCAACGAGAUGAAGGGGCUGCCAGGUCCUUUCCCCGAGUGAACCAGUUUCACUUUGGCCAUAAAGUCACCGUGGGAUUUUUAUUUUCUGCUUUACAGACGACGCCUCCAGAGUCCUGGACUUGGAGUGUAAUGUUCAUGUGACCUUGGCGUCCACAGGUGAGAAUUUUUUUCUAGCUCUGAGUCCCUCUGGCCCUGGUUUCUACAGAUGUCUGGGGAGGGCAGAUGUGACAGGACAGAGAACGGCUCACAAAUUCUGUUCUUCGGUGGACGUCUGGAGAGGACAGUGACUGAAAGUCCACGGCUUGGGAAAUGCUGCUAAAUAUGCUGCAAGUUGUGUUUUUCAAGUCCGGUUCAAAUCACGUAUCUCAGCAGGUUUACGAGUUUGCAGAUGUGGGCGCUUGUGUUCUAGGUGUGGUGUGUCUGUGGGCCACACUCAGAAGGCAGUGAACCUCUAGGAGGACAGGCCUGCUUCCUGUCCUAAGCCUCAGACAGUGCCCAGCCUCCUGGACUUCCCAGAGCACGAGUGGACACACCAGGAGGAGGGGAAAUAACACGUUGUAGAGAGACAGGACGUUAUUCUGAGGCUAAGUCCUUCAAGCAUCCUGUGGGGACAAAAACCAGCACAGGCUGUGACGGAUACUUGGUUUCUGGGUCUCAUAAUUUGGCAUCCUUUGAUUUCUUGAAUGCAUGAUGUGUCUGAAAAUUAAAAUACGUGCAUCUGUGCAUGUGGAAGCUGAUAGAUACUGGCGUGGGCUGCAAAUCUCUAGGUAUCAUUGAACUAAAAAGGAAGGCGUGUGCCCUGACAGCAGCCCCACCACCCGGCACGAGGAUUAAAUGUUCCUCUACCUCCUCUGGGAGGUAAACGGUCCUGGUUCCCCAGAAUGAGUUUCAGUUCUGACAUCCAAGUUCAAGGUCACCGUGAACUAAGUCUAUGGUCUUGGACAGAUCACGUAACUCCUCUGGGAGGUAAACGGUCCUGGUUCCCCAGAAUGAGUUUCAGUUCUGACAUCCAAGUUCAAGGUCACCGUGAACUGAGUCUAUGGUCUUGGACAGAUCACGUAACUCCUGGUAUCUCAGGUUACUCCCCUGUAGAAUGGGAUUAUCAUCUACCUGGGGGAUUGUAAGUUCUACAUAAGCCCGUUUAUACGGAAGAGGAGAUGUGUCAACCACACACAGGGAAAAGAACCCCAACAAUAGCAGGUGCUUCUCUUCACAACAGGCAAGACAUGGAAGAUCCCUAAGUGUCCACUGACAGAGGAAUGGAUAUCACUUAUAUCUGGAAUCUAAUAUAUGGCACAAAUGAACCUUUCCACAGAAAAGAAACUCAUGGACUUGGAGAACAGACUUGUGGUUGCCAAGGGGGAGGGGGAGGGAGUGGGAGAGAUUGGGAGCUUGGGGUUCAUAGAUGCCUUUGGAAUGGAUGAGCAAUGAGAUCCUGCUGUGUCGCACUGAGAACUAUGUCUAGUCACUUAUGAUGGAGCAUGAUAAUGUGAGAAAAAAAUGUACACAUGUAUGUGUGACUGGGUCACCAUGCUGUACAGCAGAAAAAAAAAUAAUGUAUUGGGGAAAUAAAAAAAAUAAAUACCAAAAAAAGGGAAGAUGUGGUACAUAUACACAAUGGAAUACUACUCAGCCAUAAAAAAGAAUGAAAUCGUGCCAUUUGCUUCAACAUGGAUAGUAGACAUAAAAGGUAUUAUGCUACAAGAAACAAUAACAGUGGUUCAAAAAGAUACAUGCACCCUAAUGUUCAUUGCAGCACUAUUCACAACAGCCAAGACAUGGAAACAACCCAAGUGUCCAUUGACAGAGGAAUGGAUAAAGAAGAUGUG